rnacentral:rRNA from 1 species
CAGCCGCCGCGGUAAUACGGAGGGCGCAAGCGUUACUCGGAAUUACUGGGCGUAAAGCGUGCGUAGGUGGUGGUUUAAGUCCGUUGUGAAAGCCCUGGGCUCAACCUGGGAAUUGCAGUGGAUACUGGGUCACUAGAGUGUGGUAGAGGAUAGUGGAAUUUCCGGUGUAGCAGUGAAAUGCGUAGAGAUCGGAAGGAACAUCUGUGGCGAAGGCGACUAUCUGGGCCAACACUGACACUGAGGCACGAAAGCGUGGGGAGCAAACAGGAUUAGAUACCCCCGUAGUCCCUGUCUCUUAUAC